rnacentral:rRNA from 1 species
AAAUUGAAGAGUUUGAUCAUGGCUCAGAUUGAACGCUGGCGGCAGGCCUAACACAUGCAAGUCGAACGGUAACAGGAAGCAGCUUGCUGCUUCGCUGACGAGUGGCGGACGGGUGAGUAAUGUCUGGGAAACUGCCUGAUGGAGGGGGAUAACUACUGGAAACGGUAGCUAAUACCGCAUAACGUCGCAAGACCAAAGAGGGGGACCUUCGGGCCUCUUGCCAUCGGAUGUGCCCAGAUGGGAUUAGCUAGUAGGUGGGGUAACGGCUCACCUAGGCGACGAUCCCUAGCUGGUCUGAGAGGAUGACCAGCCACACUGGAACUGAGACACGGUCCAGACUCCUACGGGAGGCAGCAGUGGGGAAUAUUGCACAAUGGGCGCAAG